rnacentral:rRNA from 1 species
GUGAGGAAUAUUGCGCAAUGGAGGCAACUCUGACGCAGCCAUGCCGCGUGCAGGAAGAAGGCGCUACGCGUUGUAAACUGCUUUUAACCGGGAAGAAACCCCAGGACGUGUCCUGGGUUGACGGUACCGGAGGAAUAAGCACCGGCUAACUUCGUGCCAGCAGCCGCGGUAAUACGAAGGGUGCAAGCGUUAUCCGGAUUCAUUGGGUUUAAAGGGUGCGUAGGCGGAGCGUUAAGUCAGUGGUGAAAUCCUGCAGCUUAACUGUAGACUUGCCAUUGAUACUGGCGCUCUUGAGUGCGCUUGAAGUGGGCGGAAUGUGCCGUGUAGCGGUGAAAUGCUUAGAUAUGGCUCAGAACACCAAUUGCGAAGGCAGCUCACUAAGGCGAUACUGACGCUGAGGCACGAAAGCGUGGGGAUCGAACAGGAUUAGAUACCCGAGUAGUCC